AUGGAGCGGCAUAAACUCGGGUCGGAUUCUUAUUACACCAUUCUAGGAGUCGGGUCGGAUUGUUCCGCAGAAGAGAUUCGGCGGGCUUACCGGCGGCUGGCCAUGCGAUGGCAUCCGGAUCGGUGGGCGAGAAGACGAGCAGCCCCUGCUUUGUUAAGCAACGCCAAAGCCAAAUUCCAGCAGAUUCAACAAGCUUAUUCGGGUAAUUUCAAUUCAUUAACCAAUCCAAAACUCCUGUUCUUAUUGUGUUCUUGGUUGACCUAUGUAUUUUGACUCUUUCACCACUCAUAUUCAUUGUUCACAACAUUUUUUGAGAAGCACGUCUUUUAGAUGGUGGUAGAUGGCAAUAAGAAUCAUUUUAGCUUUGCAGUCUUCGACAU